GUUGACCUCGGAUCGGGUA
rnacentral:rRNA from 1 species